GACGAACGCUGGCGGCGUGCCUAAUACAUGCAAGUUGAGCGCUGAAGGUUGGUACUUGUACCAACUGGAUGAGCAGCGAACGGGUGAGUAACGCGUGGGGAAUCUGCCUUUGAGCGGGGGACAACAUUUGGAAACGAAUGCUAAUACCGCAUAAAAACUUUAAACACAAGUUUUAAGUUUGAAAGAUGCAAUUGCAUCACUCAAAGAUGAUCCCGCGUUGUAUUAGCUAGUUGGUGAGGUAAAGGCUCACCAAGGCGAUGAUACAUAGCCGACCUGAGAGGGUGAUCGGCCACAUUGGGACUGAGACACGGUCCAAACUCCUACGGGAGGCAGCAGUAGGGAAUCUUCGGCAAUGGACGAAAGUCUGACCGAGCAACGCCGCGUGAGUGAAGAAGGUUUUCGGAUCGUAAAACUCUGUUGGUAGAGAAGAACGUUGGUGAGAGUGGAAAGCUCAUCAAGUGACGGUAACUACCCAGAAAGGGACGGCUAACUACGU
rnacentral:rRNA from 1 species